rnacentral:rRNA from 1 species
GACGAACGCUGGCGGCGUGCUUAACACAUGCAAGUCGAACGGAAAGGCCAUGCUUUUGUGGGGUGCUCGAGUGGCGAACGGGUGAGUAACACGUGAGUAACCUGCCCUUGACUUUGGGAUAACUUCAGGAAACUGGGGCUAAUAUCGGAUAGGAGCUCCUGCUGCAUGGUGGGGGUUGGAAAGUUUCGGCGGUUGGGGAUGGAAUCGCGGCUAAUCAGCUUGUGGGGGGGGUAGUGGCCUACCAAGGCUUUGACGGGUAGCCGGCCUUCUAGGGUGAACGGGCACAGUGGAACGGAAAUACGGCCCAGACUGCUACGGGAGGCAGCAGUGGGAAAGAUUGCACGAUAGGCGGAAGGCUGAUGCGGCAACGCCGCGUCCGGGAUGACGGCCUUCGGGUUGUAAACCGCUUUCGCCUGUAACGAAGCGAGAGUGACGGUAAUGGGUAAAAAAGCACCGGCUAACUACGUG